CACGUAGGGUGCAAGCGUUGUCCGGAAUCAUUGGGCGUAAAGAGCUCGUAGGCGGCUUAGUAAGUCGGGUGUGAAAACCCCAGGCUCAACCUGGGGACGCCACCCGAUACUGCUAUAGCUAGAGUCCAGUAGGGGAGUGUGGAAUUCCCAGUGUAGAGGUGAAAUUCGUAGAUAUUAGGAAGAACACCGGUGGCGAAGGCGGCCCACUGGAUCGGUACUGACGCUGAGGUGCGAAAGCGUGGGGAGCAAACAGG
rnacentral:rRNA from 1 species